CCACUGCGUGUAGAGAGCACUCUCAGCACAAGAGUCUCUUCACACCAAGCCGUUUGUUUGCUAUUUCAAGAGAGGAUGUGAGACCUGGCAGAUCGGCCUUCCAUCACUGAACAGAGUCUAGUGUACCAUUAAUCAGAUAAUGAAGCCCUAACAAGUAAUACUAGUAGAGGAUCUACCCCAUGCUUGAGAGAAAGGUUUAUGACUUGAUAACCAGUGGUUUUCUUUUGAGGAGAAGAUUGAUCAGCCUACUUCUGAAGUGGAUUUAGCAGACUAUCCUGGUAAUGGCCUGCCAAAACAAAAGUGACAACCACGGAGUCCGAGAAUGCAAGAACAUGUCUUCUACUGCCAAGGACCAGCUGACACCCACGGAGUCGCAAAAUGGGAACGGCUGUGUGCACCAAAAGGGAGGAAGUAUAUAAAAAGAUUUUUGUUUUCAGUCACUCUGUGACCUAAGUAACGUCCUAGUUUAAACAUUAAACUCAAGGUCAUUAACUUGUCACAGUGAUUUCUGAUUUCAAACUUUAUAGCAAAAUAAGAGUUAAGAAGGCAUGAAAAGGCUCAUUAAUUGAUAUGAUAAAGCUUGCUGAAAUGUAACCCUUUAUAUACUUCAUAUAUAUGUAGAGACAAUGAUUUUAAAGUUACAAAACUUCAAAAAUAUAUGCAUUGUUUAAGUCAGUACGUGUUUCACAUGUCAUACAUUAAAGGUGAAACCAUAUAAAAAAUGCUAGGUACUACUUUUGCACUUCCAAAAAAACAGACUAUCAAGGGUUUGAUUUCUCUUAUGCUGAAAAUAAAGUUAAUUUGUGAAACUGUAAUCCGAAUUCAGAAAAUGUUGGAAAUAAAAGCAGUUUCAUAUUACUCAUUCAGUCACAGGCUGAUGUUUGUAGCAAAUGAUUUACACGAGAAAAUUGACCAUGUCUCAUGCAUCACUAUUAAUUUUUACACUUUAAAACAGGCACAAUUUAAACCGAGGCCAAUAUACCCUCUUGACAUUGUUGCUAUCUUACUGCCAAUCUCAGUGUUUUAAAGUAGGUGAAAUUACUUCAUUUCAUUUUCAUUAAAAAUCUGAAUGCAGCAUUAUUCCAGAGCUAGUAAAACUUAUUCUAAAUGUUUAUGAAAAAUAUUAAUUUACAUUUUCUGUGAGGGAUUAGCCUCUUCUUAGAACUGAAUGUGGUUAUUUUUUUCCACCUUAGUACAGACACUUUCGACCAGCUUCCUUCAUUGGUGUUUGUGAUAUACUAAUCACAGAAUAUAUGAAAUAUGUUAUAUUUAAGGGGAAAUGACUGAGAGCAAAAAGCCAGCGUUUAUCAUAACUUGUUCUCUUCAGUUAGAAUAGUCCAGCACAAUGGCACUUGGUUUUGAAAACUGGAGAUUGUCAAAAUAGAUAGCUACAGUAUUGGUCUUGUUAGCCCCUUUUACUCUGCCAGUAAUUACCCUUUUUGUCCCAGAGUAGUGAAGGUUUUGUUUAGAAAUAUCUGCAUUCCAAGUGAAUCAUGCACCUUUGUUUCAAAUUGCCUGUAGGACGGCAGUAUCCCAAAGCAGUGGGCAGCCUAUACCUUAGCUGCUUGAGAAUGAGAUGAUAACUCUUCGGAUGGUUGUGCCUUGAGUUUGACCGCUCCUUACAUACAUUAACAGUGUAGGACAGAAUCUUGAAAUUCUCUCCUACUCAUUAAUGCUCUUAUACUAAUCUUUCACAACUAGACAUUGUAUCUACGUUACAAUCUGACCUUUAAUUGGAUUUUAUUAACUUGCGGCUAUUGUUUAAGCAGGAACAAUGAUACUGGAUCUGAAAAAAAAUAUAGGAAACAAGCAAAUUAUCAAGAUUUUUCUCUCAUUCUGGUGAAUGAUUUGAAGAGGUGGAAAGCCUUAAGUAUUUAGCAAAUUGCUUGAUUGUCUUCUGUAGGUUAAAGUUUAUAGUGAGCGAAUGCUUAAAAAACGAAAAUAGCCUUUCUGAAAGUUAGGAAGCCAGCACACAGAUAUCUCUUCAUUACUUCUCAUUGCUUGUAUAAAGAUAGCCAAAUAUUUAUUUCGGACACAUUGUGUCAUCUGAAUAUUAGGUCUUCAGCUAUUUGGGCUAUGACAACUGAGUCCUACUAUAUUCUGGUUGGGUGAUGGAGGACAUUCUUUUUCUACUUAUAAAGAAGUAGGAGGUCAGCAUUGUAAACAAUAGGCAGAAUUUCCAUUAAUAAUAAAUGUACGAUCACAUGCCAAUGCAAACUCACAUGUCCUUUUCUGCUAGUACAUCCACUGAUGUUUCUGUUUAAUAGAACAGAAGUUACAAAAUGGUACAUUUCAGGAAUAUAAAGAUUUCAGAUAAGUCUAUGUCAGACCAAAAUAAAUUUCUUUUCCUUUGAGUGUAGCAAGGGCUUGAUUUCACCCACAGGAUUUAGGUAUCUCUUCCUUUGGGUAAAAAAUUUCCAAAAAGCUGAUGAUGAUUUGUUAUCCAAUGGGUGCAGUUGUCCCACGUUAUCCAGUUAUCCCUUGUUAUCCAACAGAGGAAGAUGGCUAAUAGAAAACAAAAUACUAAUGGUGAAGGAGGUAUGGAUUUGCUUUAUUAUGUUAUCGUAUUAUUUUGAUCCAAAUAUUUUCAUUUUAUUACGAGUAAAAUUUGUAUGCCAGAUUGCUUUGUUUCAUUUGUGUGUAUGCAGGCUAAAUAAACUGGUAGAUAACUACUGGUUUAUUAUAGUCUAUUUAAGAUAGGCUGAAAUGGAAAAUAAUUCUUUUUUUUCACAUUUCAUUUGAAUCUCAAAAGAAUAUCUGUAUCUCUAGUACUGAUAACUAAAACUAUUCAACAUCAGAAAUAAUGUACAUUGAGAAAUUUACAUAUUCGUUAUUAACUACAGAGGAAAAACAUAUUUUAAAAUUAAAAUAAGCUGAUGGUAAUGUAUUGCACCCUAAUAAAUGGCGCCUACCUUCCACAUUUAAGUGACCUGAGACCAGGAAAGCACUGGAAUGUGCCUAAAAUUAAGCUAGAAGUAAACUAGAUCUCCAUAACCUCCAUAAUUGAACUGCAGCCUUACAGGAGCAAUCAGAUGCUUCUUAAUGCUUUUCAGAAUUCCUCAUUAAACCAGAGAAUCUCACUGUGAUAUAAACCAGCAAACUGUCUCUUCAGCAGAAAUCUUUUUCAGUGGUAAAGCCAUUUAUUGAAUCUGCCUCUCCAUCUGGGUCAAUGCAACCAUCCAGUUUCACUAAGAGGAGCAGCUUUCCAAGGAGAUAAUCUGCACUCGAGGUCCUGGAGCUCCUAAAAGGUCUCAGUUCUUCCUCCAACAUUUCGCAGAGCUAAGGAGAGCUGCACCCUGAGGGCAUGUUGCUUCCAGGGCACCCUGCCGCUCUCCAGUCUGCUUGGCAUGCCCCGGGGAAGAGCAAUCUACAGAAAAGAGAGCAGAAGUUACAGUGCUGCAACCACAGCAGUUCUGCAUUUUGCCCUAACAAGUGAAGUAAGACCCAAAUCCCACCUCCUUCUUCAAACUGAUGUCUUUUAGUAGGAAUUAUGAAGACAGCUCAUCUGUAACGAGAUAAUAAAGAUCAGUGGAGUAAUGGGGUCACAAGUAUUCAGUUGAUGUCCUAUGACGCCUCGGUAGUGCCGUGUAUCUGAAGCUGUUUGCUUGCCACCGAAGAAAGAUUUAUGUCUUCAGCCAUGCAAAGUGAAAUAGCUGCAUUGUGGAGAAGAAGGCAAAUGUUUGCUUGUUCAAGUUUGGCUCUUAUUCAUCUCCCAGCUGACUAAAUCCAUGAAGAUAAACAUGGCCUGGCUUCCCCAGCUCAGCAAUGACUGCUUAUUGUCUUCGAAUAAAUACUGCAAUAUUAUUGCUCCACACUUUCCUGGCCACUGGCAGACUAUGAAAACAAGCUGAACUAAUGCCAUAAGUCAUAACAUAUACAGUCCCCGUUGUCAUUAACCCAGGGGAAAGGAAAAAGGAGGAUUCAGAAGUCAACUUUGUUUUAACCCUUUGAAUUGUAAUAGUUUUUUUUAAACCCCCUCUCAACAUGAUUGACGUCUCCUAGGAGCCCCCUAUCCUUUCAUAGGUUAGGAAGCAUUAAGUAGUUGCACUUUCCACUGGCUGAGUCUAAUCACAUUCCUAUAGAUGAAGCAGGCUGCCUUGGACACCCACAGCUUCCCAUUUAUCUUUUAAAAUGCAAUCUAUGCUUUUGUAGAUGAGCUCAUCUUGGGGAGUGGCGGAAAAAGGAGGACAAGAAUAGAAGAUAGAUCUUAGAAGAAACCAGCACAUGGUAAUGCUUGUGUUAAAAGAACCAUAAUAAGCUGCCCUAAAGAAAAGAGGGCUGGAGAAGGAGUUGGAGGAACAAUGUAUUUAAGAAAUUAAUUUUCCCGUAGAUAGAGACAACCCACAAGAAAGAUUCUGAAUUGUCAAAGACUACCUAGCUUUUAUUAGACACAUCAUGAGAAAAACCUGCCCGGCCACCCCUAUUUGUAAACAAAUGCUUAAUGUGAUUGGCACUUCUUGUUCCCCAUCCUAGACAUCUCUGCUUAGGGCUUUGUGAAAGUAAAAAAAAAAAGAAAAGACUGAAAAGUGUAUAUGGAAGUGUAUAUGGAAAAAUCAUCAUACCAGAUGAUAGUGCGAUCAAGCAAGGGAGGUCUGCUUGGAAAUCUUAUCUAAUUAGUUGGCACUGGCAUUUUGGGGGCACAAAUGAAAAUGGCCUUCCCAGUGCCAGUCCUUUCUUCUGCAUUUGCAACUCACUUAACCACAGCCAGCUACUACCAAAAAUUCUCUUCUAAGCCAUUUGUCUGCUAUGUCUGCUACUGGAGUUAUUAUAUUGCAAUUUAUCCACUGGUAAGCUCAAAUCUCAUGACUAUGUCAGUGAUAUAGUAUGAUACACCUAGGUUUUUCUUUGUACGUGUUACAAUAUUGAGGAAGAUAAAAAUAUAACAUUUGCCUGCUACAAUUAGAGUUCAGGAUUCUUUUCAUUAUAUUGGAGCAGAGGAUCUAUUACACAGAUCUACCUACAGACGCACAAUGUGUUUGGUUUCAUUGUGGGACUCCCAUGAAGGAAAUGCUCUACAACGCUAUCAUAUUCUAGAUGGCCUAAAGCAUACAGUGUCCAGCAGGGCUUUAAGGAAGAAGACGACAGGCACAGAAGACCAUGUGUCCGAUGGAGAAGUCCUCCUUAAUUUUGAUCUGAUACCUCUGGUACCGUCUAACCAUUUUUAAAGUCAGAAGCAACCAGCAAAGUUGAGAAUAGUCACGUAAGGCAGCAGAGCUUCCAGAGGUGGGACCAAAUCUUUGGUUUAUUACUUAUUUUGUUAAUUAGUUAUUUAUUUCGAUGCAGCACCCACUGAGUCGCACCUGAGACUAUUAAAGGAAUUAAAGAGAAUAAAAUAGCUUUAGUCACAGAAUAAGCAUAGCAGAGGUUAUAGUGAUACUGAAUUAAAGGUUUGAGAAAGUGAAUGGAUUGUGAGUGGUGCCCAGAACAGCAUGAAUAAAAUGAAAGGAGAGAUCCACGGGGGAAGACUCUUGCCUACAGACGUUCCCUGCCGCCUCGCUAGGGAAAGCCUCAGGAGGAGUCAGUGGAACUGCGACGCAGCAGUUCUUGGUGUUGUGAAGAACUCAGGGAAAGUCACUGCAGUGACGACCUGGACUCUAAGUAUCACCAUAAGAAGUAUGCUAUAUGGGAAAUGGAAGCAAAUGUGAGUCAAGGCUCAAUGAAAAACUACUGUCAUAAAAUGUAUGUGCAGCAACGGAAGCUAGCUGAAAAAUGGGGAGGAAUGCCUAUAGAACCAUAUACUUUAUUUGUGUGGAUAAUUUUCAGAAACAGAAAUGUUUCAAUGCCUUGAAUAGCAGUUUAUCUCUCUGGAUUCUGUAUGUAGCUGAACAUCUCUUCUGAAAAAUCAAAAUUACUUCACCCGUUUCAAGCAUGGAUUAGCCACCACAGAUCAUCAAUUGCAUGUAUUUGCUGUGAAUAUAGGUCUGAAGUUAGUCAGAAAAAUGGAAAAUGAAAUGAAAUGAAAUGCAAGAAGAGAGUAGAGAGGGGAAGGGAAGAGAAGGGAAGGGAAGGGAAACCCAAAACUCAGAACAUAGGUUUUCCUGAAUCAGCAUCUUCUUGGUGUUUUCCGCUAAACAAAGGGGCAAAGCUGGAACAGUAUUCACAAUGCACAUAGGUCAGGUGAAAUGAGCAGAAAAAAAAAAGAAUCCAAAAAACUGGUGUAUUCCCAUCAUUACCAUCAUCCUUGCCACUGGUCAAAAUGUCCUUGUUGGACUCUUGCUAUCAGCAAAGCUUUGACCAUUCUCAGUAAUGACAAAAUAUAAUGGCUGUGAGAAGGAAAACUGAGUGAAUUUCUCAAACUAAUUACAACAGUUCCCCUAUAUUUAUGUCAGAAUGCAGACAGUAACAAGUUCUACCUUAUGUGGUCAAAGCUUUAAAAUACAAAAGUUGUUAUGCCGAAAUCAACUUUAAUCAAAAUGAAUUUAUUAUCACCAGGCUGAUUGUCCCUGCACCCUCCUAUCUGUAAGGUGUCAGUUAUGCAUAACUCAUUGUGAUUGGUGAAAAGGAAGCAAAGGAAACAUAAAUGUCAGUUUGUCACUCUUUCUUGAGGGACGAUAGUUUUGCAGCAGCAGUAACCAACCUCAGUGAUGAUUUGAUGGGUGUUUAAACAGUUUUUCUGGCCUUCGAGAAUCAACACGUGUUGGCUAUCACUGAUCUUAGGGGAUAUAAUAAUUUUUAAAAAUCACUUUUUCCAUAUCUAUAGGAAUUGGGAAGUUCCUCUGGGGUAGAGUAGUCAUUGUCUGACGGAGACAAAGGCACAGUUCUUCUGUCCCUGAUUCCCACUUCAUUUUAGCUGCCUUUGUAAAUGAGUCCAAACAACAGGGGAUAUCCCUGUUAUUAGCAAAUGAUUUACAAGGACAAUGAGCAGUGUAUGGGUGAAAGCAAACCUGUGCACCAGGAAAGCUGACAGGAUAUGGUCAGAAGCUUGGAGUGAUAUAUUUGCUAUCUUAAUUUUAUCUUCGAAUUCACAGGUCAGUAUUAAUUUACAAGAAUAAAAUACCUUCAACAUGCAGUUUUAUGUUGGUCUGUCCUUGCUUAGGUUAGCUAUAGGUAUGUAUGUAUGUAUAUGUAUAUCUAUGUACAUAUAUAUUUUUUUAAUACAGUUUGGAUUCAUCUCUUAAUGUAAACAACAUGUGGAAACACUUUUCCAUAAAAUUUACUUCAGUCUGUAUACUUACUACAAUGUCUAAAAAGGUACGGUAGAAUACAGAAAUGAAAUAUGCUGACACGUUAUGUAUGUGCAUGUUGUUUACUUUAUAAUCCACAAAGCAAGCUCCUUCCCAAGCUUGUAGGAAGGCUGAAGUUUUCAGAUGGAAUUGAUAAGGCAAUGGGAAUGAUCAGCCGCUGUGGCUCUGAGGGUGCUUGGCACUUCUUUGUAUUUAGCAUUAAACUUCCUGUCCACCCACCCUCCCCCAUCAUUCAAGCCCUUAUUUUUGGAUUGUAGGAGGUUGCAUUUCACUGGGUACUCGUGCUACCUCA